rnacentral:rRNA from 1 species
UACGAAUGGAGCAAGCGUUGUUCGGAAUCACUGGGCUUAAAGCGUGCGCAGGCGGAUCUGCAAGUCAGGUGUGAAAUCCCGGGGCUUAACCCCGGAACUGCACUUGAAACUGCAAAUCUAGAAUCCUGGAGAGGUCGGGGGAAUUCCGAGUGUAGAGGUGAAAUUCGCAGAUAUUCGGAGGAACACCAGUGGCGUAGGCGCCCGACUGGACAGGUAUUGACGCUCAGGCACGAAAGCGUGGGGAGCAAACAGG